rnacentral:rRNA from 1 species
ACGAACGCUGGCGGCGUGCCUAAUACAUGCAAGUCGAACGGUCUUUCUAUGGAAGCUUGCUUCCACUGAGAAGAUAGUGGCGAACGGGUGAGUAACACGUGGGUAACCUGCCCAUAAGAGGGGGAUAACAUCCGGAAACGGGUGCUAAUACCGCAUAGUUUUCUUGAUCGCAUGAUCGGGAAAGGAAAGACGGCCUUUGUGCUGUCGCUUAUGGAUGGACCCGCGGCGUAUUAGUUAGUUGGUGAGGUAAUGGCUCACCAAGACGAUGGUACGUAGCCGACCUGAGAGGGUGAUCGGCCACAUUGGGACUGAGACACGGCCCAAACUCCUACGGGAGGCAGCAGUAGGGAAUCUUCCGCAAUGGACGAAAGUCUGACGGAGCAACGCCGCGUGAGUGAAGAAGGUUUUUUCGGAUCGUAAAACUCUGUUGUCAGAGAAGAACAAGUUGGAGAGUAACUGCUCCAGCCUUGACGGUAUCUGACCAGAAAGCCACGGCUAACUACGUGCCAGCCGCAGC